UACAGAGGUCUCAAGCGUUGUUCGGAAUCACUGGGCGUAAAGGGUGCGUAGGCGGCGUGGUAAGUCGGAUGUGAAAUCUCGGAGCUUAACUCCGAAACUGCAUUCGAUACUGCCGUGCUUGAGGACUGGAGAGGAGACUGGAAUUUACGGUGUAGCGGUGAAAUGCGUAGAUAUCGUAAGGAAGACCAGUGGCGAAGGCGGGUCUCUGGACAGUUCCUGACGCUGAGGCACGAAGGCCAGGGGAGCAAACGGG
rnacentral:rRNA from 1 species